AGGGUUCGAUCCUGGCUCAGGAUGAACGCUGGCGGCGUGCCUAACACAUGCAAGUCGAGCGAAGCGAUUUCAAGGAAGUUUUCGGAUGGAAUUGAGAUUGACUGAGCGGCGGACGGGUGAGUAACGCGUGGGCAACCUGCCUCAUACAGGGGGAUAACAGUUAGAAAUGACUGCUAAUACCGCAUAAGCGCACGGUUUCGCAUGAAACAGUGUGAAAAACUCCGGUGGUAUGAGAUGGACCCGCGUCUGAUUAGCUAGUUGGUGGGGUAAAGGCCUACCAAGGCGACGAUCAGUAGCCGACCUGAGAGGGUGACCGGCCACAUUGGGACUGAGACACGGCCCAA
rnacentral:rRNA from 1 species